rnacentral:rRNA from 1 species
GGCGUAAGGGCUCGCAGGCGGUUUCUUAAGUCUGAUGUGAAAGCCCCCGGCUCAACCUGGGAGGUGCAUUGGAAACUGGCGAACUUGAGUAGCGGAAGAGGAUGGUGGAAUUCCCUGUGUAGCGGUGAAAUGCGUAGAUAUGUGAAGGAACACCAGUGGCGAAGGCGACUCUCUGGACUGUUACUGACACUGAGGAGCGAAAGCGUGGGGAGCGAACAGGAUUAGAUACCCUGGUAGUCCACGCCGUAAACGAUGACUGCUAACCGUUGGGAGCCUUCAGCUCCUUAUGGCUCAACUUACCCCUUUAGUUGAUCGCCCGGGGAAUACCGGCCCCAGGAUUGAACUCCAAUGAAUUGGCCGGGGCCCCCCCCAACCGUGGAACCUGGGGUUUAAUUCCAAACCACCCCAAAAACCCUACCCAGGCUUGGCCUCCCUCGGACUUUCCUAAAAUGGAUUGGUGCCCUCCGGAG